AACGAACGCUGGCGGCAUGCUUAACACAUGCAAGUCGAACGAAACCUCCCGCUCUAGUGGCGCACGGGUGCGUAACGCAACGGAACCUGCCCUCAGGUUCGGAAUAACCUGUCGUACGGGAUGCUAAUACCGGAUAAUGUCUUCGGACCAAUGAUAUAUCGCCUUAGGAUGGGCCGGUGUUGGAUUAGCUAGUUUGUAGGGUAAAGGCCUACCAGGCUGACGAUCCAUAGGUGGUCUGAGAGCCUGAUCAGCCACACUGGGACUGAGACGAGGCCGAGACUCCUACGGGAGGCAGAAGUGGGGAAUAUUGGACAAUGGGCGAAAGGCUGAUCCAGCAAGGCCGCGUGAGUGAUGAAGGCCUUAGGGUUGUAGAGCUCUUUUACCCUGGAUGAUAAUGACAUUACCGGGAGAAUAAGCUCCGGCUAACUCCGUG
rnacentral:rRNA from 1 species